AGGACUGGGUUCAGAUCCCUCUGUGGUCUCUAAACUGCUAAUGUGUAAUUUCUGUUUUAGGAUGAAGAGGAGGAUGUUUACAAGAGAGAUUUCAGCGCACCAACUUUGGAGGAUCAUUUCAACAAAACCAUCUUACCCAAAGUCAUGCAGGUUAAAAACUUUGGUCGCUCUGGACGUACCAAAUACACUCACUUGGUGGACCAGGACACAACGUCCUUUGACUCUGCUUGGGCCCAGGAGAGUGCUCAGAACACCAAGUUCUUCACACAGAAGGCAGCAGGAGUGAGGGAUGUUUUUGACCGACCCACAGUGAAGAAGAGGAAAACAUGAAGUAAACAAAAAAAUGACUGUUUAACAACUCCCAACA